rnacentral:lncRNA from 1 species
AACAGAUGAGACCACAGCCAAAAUCUGCUAUUUCUUUUAGAUUUAUUCCUUCAAAUUACAGAAAGCCACAGAUAAAAACUGCCUUGUGAGCGAGGCCCCAGGGCCUCAGGCCAAGACUCCCUUCUAGGCUUGUCAGGAAUAAAACACCUUUAGCCAAAGCCUCUGUUUCAGCUUUCUGAACCCUGGGCCUGACAGAAUUACAGAAACUGGUUCCCCCUUGAGGCCUCACUAUCCUAGGCUAAUUGUAACUUCUCCCGUUUAGCUCGUUUCACCCAUUUUAAUACAUACAGGAAUCAUGUGGAGCAAUAACCUUUGCAUCCUAAUAACUAUCUUGUUUUUCCUAUAGGGUCAGAUUCUGGAAUUGAGGGAUGAGGGAUUUCAAAAACAACUAACAUUUCAAUAAAUCUGUUAGACCAACAUAGAGCUGCCAAAUUCUUUUACUUUGCCAAAUAAGAUGUUAGAAAAAAUAAAAGCUGCUCCCAUCUCCCACCACCGUCACUUCAUAAAAGAAAGGACAUUUCAAAAUCAGGCCAGUAACAGGACAUGUCUCAGACCACAGUCUGAGUGCAGUCCUCAGACCACGAGACUCGUGUGUCUUGUUCAGCCUACUAGGUUUUGAAUUCCCCAGGGAAUGUGUCUCAUUCAUAUUUAAAUGCCCAGCUCCUAGGUGGGUGUUCUUGUAUAAAGUCAGCGCUCAGUCAACGGGCGCAGUAGCUCACGCCUGUAAUCCCAGCACUUUGGGAGGCCGAGGCGGGCGGAUCACGAGGCCAGGAGAUCAAGACCAUCCUGGCUAACAUGGCGAAACCCUGUCUCUACCAAAAAUACAAAAAUUAGCCAGGCGUGGUGGCGGGCACCUGUAAUCUCAGCUACUCGAGAGGCUGAGGCAGGAGAAUCUCUUGAACCUGGGAGGUGGAGAUUGCAGUGAGCCGAGGUCGUGCCAUCGCACUCCAGCCUGGACAUCAAAGUGAGACUCAGGCCAAAAAAAAAAAAAAAAAAAACCUUGACGUGUCAAUGUUUGUGUCUGGCCUAGGAGAAUGAGGAUGACAGCUUCACUUGCCUUUUGAAGAAGAAACAUUACAAAACCUUAAUCUGAAGUAUAAAGUCAAAAGAUACGGCUCUUUCUCACACUUGCAAGACUUACAAAUACAGCCUCAAACAUUAUGACACACCAACAAUAUCUAGAAAGUAAGAACUGGUGUAGCAAUGAUGCUUCAUAUUCUAGCUGUAGCCACAGAGUUGAGGGUAGUUUUUGUAGGUCUAAAAUAAUAAUCUAUAAAGAUGUCCAAAGUUAAAUUUUCAACAAUACAAAUCUAGAGAAGUGACAGCCUACAUUACUUCAUUAUUACUCUUCUUUUAGUCUUUAGUCUUUAAUAUUUUAAAGUUUACUCUAUAAAUCAGCAUUUUGUAAUCCUUUAUAAACUCAUCCAGAUUUAAAUGCUACUUUUUCAUGAAGAAAGGAUAACUUUAUAGACAGUCAGUGCAACACACACAUUUUAUCUCAUCACCGUCUUACUGCCUCCCCAUCCACUGUCUCAUAAAGCCCUCAGCUGAACUAAGAUAAAUAAUACAAUGGAAAUUAUUUUCAGUUCCCCUUGCACUGUCAAAGUAAAACAAGAAAACUGAAAAGCUGCACCCCCAGCAAGAAAGGGAAGUAUGCUGUUGUAUGCAUCAUUACUCAACAAUUACCCUCUAACUAAACAUCCUGUUUAAGAGUUUAAUUCAAACAACAGCCAGACUGUUAAGAAAAAAAACAAAAAGAAUAACUUUUAUCUGGCUUACAAUUAUUAAAGCAUUUAUUUUCAGGUACCAAAAGCCAUAUCCCAUUCCACUUUUUAAGUUUCUUUUGAUCACUGACAGGCAUUAACAGAUGUAGCAACGUGGUCUCCUAUAGAGAAAAUUACACUUAUCUAAAAAUCUGAUUCCAUUAAUUGAUCAAGUAUAAAAAUCUACGAAAACAAUAUGUUCUGCACAUCACAUCUGUACUUUUUUUUUUUUAAAUAUAUUUUUUGAGACGGAGUCUCACUCUGUUGCCCAGGCUGGAGUGCAGUGGCAUGAUCUUGGCUCACUGCAACCUCCGCCUCCCGGGCUCAAGGGAUUCUCCUGCCUCAGCCUCAGCUGGUAUUAUAGGCACUUGCUACCAUGCUUGGCUAAUUUUUGUAUUUCUAGCGGAGACGAGGUUUCACCAUGUUGGCCAGGCUGGUCUUGAACUCCUGACCUCAAGUGAUCCACCCGCCUCAGCCUCCCAAAGUGCUGGGAUUACAGGUAUGAGCCAACGCACCCAGCCAAUGAUCCCUAUUUUGAUGUGAGAAGUGAAUGAAUUCCCCUGUUCAAAUCAGAUGCCCAUAAAGAUGAUGUAGAACUUUUUUUUUUUUUGAGAUGGAGUCUCGCUCUGUUGCCCAGGCUGGAGUGCAGUGGCACGAUCUCGGCUCACUGCAAGCUCUGCCUCCGGGGUUCACGCCAUUCUCCUGCCUCAGCCUCCUGAGUAGCUGGAACUACAGGCGCCCGCCACCACGCCCGACUAAUUUUUUGUAUUUUUAGUAGAGACGGGGUUUCACUGUGUUAGCCAGGAUGGUCGCGAUCUCCUGACCUCAUGAUCCGCCCGCCUCGGCCUCCCAAAGUGCUGGGAUUACAGGCGUGAGCCACCACACUUGGCCAUAAUAUGUCUUUUUUAAAAUUACAAUUAAUACUUACUGUUAUUUAAUUUGAUGCCAAGUUUUUGUUUUAUUUUGUUGUUUUUUUGAGACAGGGUCUCACUAUGUCACCCAGGAUGGAGUGCAGUGGCCAUGAUCUUGGCUCACUGGAACCUCUGCCUCCAGUGUUCAAGUGAUUCUUAUGCCUCAGUCACCUGAGUAGCUGGGAUUACAGGCGUGUACCACCAUGCCCAGCUAAUUUUUGUAUUUUUAGUAGACACAGGGUUUCGCCAUGUUGGCCAGGCUGGUCUCGAACUCCUCACCUCAAGUGAUCCACCUGCCUCAGCCUCCCAAAGUGCUAGGAUUACAGGCAUAAGCCACCAAGCUCAGCCUAAUGCCAAAUUUUUAAAUGGUAUCCUCUCCCAUCUUAAAACAAUAACUGGCAAUCCCAAAAAAUAUUUGGUUCAUACACCUAUUAUUUCAAGAUCCCCUGAAGACCAUUCAUAGACCCUGGUGGAGAAAUGCUUCAGAUCUGGGCAUGCUAUAAGAACAGGCUCUGACAAAAUGUCCAGUAAGUUCUUCAUGUGUCUCAACUAAGACAAGGAUGAGAACAUCUUUAAAGGUGGCAUUCCCCUAUGGCUACAACUGUGGAAACCAGAACUAAUGAGAUGUGGGAGAAAGAAAGACAAAAAAUACUUAUUGUAAAAAAUUUUUCAAAAUUAUUCUGAUACUUGCUUUAACUAUUAAAACUUCAGAGUUAUGUUAGUGUAGUUCUUAUUUUAUAAAGCUAAAAAUAUCAAUUGUACAAACACCCUAGGGUAGGGAAAAAAAACAAAAAAAACCUCUAUUCUAGAUAGUAACCAACUUUAUCCUAAAUGUUGUAAAUCUGGCAAAACUUAAGGAAAUAUGCUGGAUAGAGUCCUUGAAUACAUUUACAAAGAUUCCACUUUAACAAAUAACAUUUAAAGUUAGAUGGCUAGGUGCGGUGCCUCACGCCUAUAAUCCCAGCACUUUGGGAGGCUGAAGCAGGCGGAUCACUUGAAGUCAGGAGUUUGAGACCAGCCUGGCCAACAUGAUGAAACCUGUCUCUACUAAAAAUACAAAAAUUAGCUGGGUGUGGUGGCGGGUGCCUGUAAUCCCAACUACUCGAGGAGGCUGAGGCAGGAGAAUCACUUGAACCAGGGAGGCAGAGGUUGUAGUAAGCUGAGAUCACGCCACUGCACUCCAGACUUGGUGACAGAGCAAGACACCAGCUGAAAAAAAUAAAAAAAUAUAAAGUUAGAGUAACAUAAAAUCAGAAUAACAGACAUAGAAAAACAUAAAAUGUUGCCCUUAAUUUGGAAAAGCAACAUAUCUAUCCAACCUCAUUUUGUAACUAGUUGUUUUUACAUAUAACAUUUCCACUAUCUCACAUUUAAUUAUAGCCUAGAUAAUAACAAACAUUGCAACUCUGUAAACUGGUUCCUAUCAACUCUGAAACAAGACUUCUCUUGUGCAGCUAUUGAAUUGUCCUAGGAAAUGCCAGUAAGGUUUUUUGGAUUUUUGUUGUGGGGUUUUUUUUGUUUUGUUUUGUUUUUGUUUGGGUUGUUUGUCUUCCUUGAUUUUUAUCUUGAUUUUUUGAGACAGCGUCUCACUCUGUCACCCAGGAUGGAAUGCAGUGGUGCACAGCUGACUGUGGCCUUGACCUCCCAGGCUCAAGCGAUCCUCCCACUUCAGCCUCCUGAGUAGCGGCGUGCACCAUCACGCCUGGCUGAUUUUUGUAUUUUUUGUAGAAACAGCACUAAGUUGCCCAGGCUGGUUUUGAAUUCCUGGGCUCAAACGAUCCUCCUGCCUUGGACUAGGUCUGGCGCAGCGGCUCACGCCUAUAAUCCCAGCACUUUGGGAGGCCAAGGUGGGCAGAUUGCCUGAGCUCAGGAGUUCGAGACCAGCCUGGGCAACACAGUGAAACCCCAUCUCUACUAAAAUACAAAAAAUUAUCAGGGCAUGGUGGUGUGUGCCUGUAAUCUCAGCUACUCGAGAGGUUGAGGAGGGAGAAUCGCUUGAACCCAGAAGGCGGAGGUUGCAGUGAGCCAAAAUCACACCACUGCACUGCAGCCUGGGUGACAGAGUGAGACUCCAUCCCCCAUAGCACCAAAAAGAAAAAAAAAAAAAAAAGAAAAAGAAAAAGAAAGGGCAGGCACGGUGGCUCAUGCCCGUAAUCCCAGCACAUUGGGAGGCCGAGGUGGGCAGAUCACCUGAGGUCAGGAGUUUGAGACCAGCCUGACCAACAUGGAGAAACCCUGUCCCUACUAAAAAUACAAAAUUAGCCGGGCGUGGUGACACAGGAAAUGCCUGUAAUCCUAGCACACAGGAG